UAUUUGUGUUAUGAUGUUAACUUGAUGAAAAAUGUAACAGGGAGUGGAAAUCUUUUGACAAAUUUUCACCUGAAAGGAGCAUCAAAUCACCCUUUCCGACAGUUUCAGCUUCCGAACAGGAUCAACCAUUGUCCAGUUUGUCUUCAGUGGAAUCUGUGCAGGAUCCUUCUGUGGAACCUGCGAAAGCAGCAUCUUUAGAUCCACUGAUUGGGAAGAAAGUUUCUACUAAAUGGUCAGCUGACGGCCCUUUUAUUGAUGGUGACAUAACUGAAUAUGACCCUGUCAAGGGCAUGUAUAAAGUGAUCUAUGCUGCUAAUACACCAAUAGAGUUUUCCAAAUGGGUUGAUCUGAAAAAGGUAUUUCCAUAUUUUGUUACAUUGAAUGAAGCAGCAACAAACAAAUAUGACUGGUGAAUAUUCCAGUCCAUGGAGUAAAAUGUAGUUUUAAGUCCCUUUGCGUCUCAUGACGAUAAACUACUAUUGUUAGGCGCUAGUCCUGAGUUUAUGUAAUGAAUAAAGAUCAAGUAGAUUUUGUAGUAGAGUAGUUUAAAAAUGAUGAGUAUCCUUUUUAUAUUUAUACUGUAAUGAAUGCCAACAGAUCUUUCCGGAGGAUAUAGACUGGGAAGGGUUUGAUCAGGUACCAAGUACUGUCGAACAAAAUGGACAAGACUGCGACAAUGAUAAUGCAGAAGAAAAAGAUCAGCAGGCACAUGAUAAUGGAAAUUCAAGCCUUUCGGAUACAUUUGAUGGAAAC